rnacentral:rRNA from 1 species
AUUGAACGCUGGCGGCAGGCCUAACACAUGCAAGUCGAGCGAGCGGCGGACGGGUGAGUAAUGUAUGGGGAACUGCCCGAUAGAGGGGGAUAACUACUGGAAACGGUGGCUAAUACCGCAUACUAUCGGAUGAACCCAUAUUGGAUUAUCUAGUAGGUGGGGUAACGGCUCACCUAGGCGACGAUCGCUAGCUGGUCUGAGAGGAUGAGCAGCCACACUGGAACGGCGACACGGCCCAGACUCCUACGGGAGGCAGCAGGGGGGAAUAGUGCACAAUGGGCGCAAGCCUGAUGCAGCCAUGCCGCGUGUAUGAAGAAGGCCUUAGGGUUGUAAAGUACUUUCAGCGGGGAGGCGUUACCCGCAGAAGAAGCACCGGCUAACUCCGUGCCAGCAGCCGCGGUAAUUC